rnacentral:rRNA from 1 species
UACGUAGGGUCCGAGCGUUGUCCGGAAUUAUUGGGCGUACAGGGCUCGUAGGCGGUUUGUCGCGUCGGGAGUGAAAACUCAGGGCUCAACCCUGAGCGUGCUUCCGAUACGGGCAAACUAGAGGUAUGCAGGGGAGAAUGGAAUUCCUGGUGUAGCGGUGGAAUGCGCAGAUAUCAGGAGGAACACCGGUGGCGAAGGCGGUUCUCUGGGCAUUACCUGACGCUGAGGAGCGAAAGCAUGGGGAGCGAACAGG